rnacentral:misc_RNA from 1 species
UUAAGUUCAGCGGGUAUUCCUACCUGAUCCGAGGUCAACCUUGGUGGGGUCGGUCUUUGCAGACCUGGUUUUACGGCCGGAGAGCACCUCCACGGGCCUCCAGAGCGAGAACUUUACUACUGCGCUCGGAGCCGCGGCGGGUCCGCCACUGUCUCUGGGGGCCUCCCCCCCCGCGAGGGAGGGAGAGCCCCGACGCCAGG